CGGGCAUUAGCGCAGUCUGGUAGCGCAUCGUCAUGGGGUGGCGAGGGUCAGAGGUUCAAAUCCUCUAUGCCCGACCA
rnacentral:tRNA from 3 species